AUGGCCCUCGCCGGCAGGGCGGCGCUGCGCUGGGGGGCACGGCUGCCGAGCCCCGGCCCCGCCGCCGCCCCGCUCUGCCGCCAGGCCUGGCUGCCCGCGGCGUGCGGGCGGCCCUACAGCUCCCGCGGCAAGGAAGAAAUAGAUAUGUCAACGUAUCCUGUUGAAAGCAUUAGAAACUUCAGUAUUAUAGCUCAUGUAGAUCAUGGCAAAAGUACACUAGCAGACAGAUUGCUGGAAAUUACAGGUACAAUUUCUAAAACUGACCGUAAUAAACAAGUGCUGGAUAAACUUCAAGUGGAACGUGAAAGAGGAAUUACAGUUAAAGCCCAAUCUGCAUCUCUCUUUUACAGUCAUGAAGGAAUAAACUACCUCUUAAAUCUUAUUGACACACCAGGCCACGUAGAUUUCAGCUAUGAAGUAUCACGGUCACUAUCUGCCUGUCAAGGUGUCAUACUUGUGGUGGAUGCAAAUGAGGGUAUUCAGGCUCAGACAGUGGCAAACUUCUAUCUUGCCUUUGAAGCGCAGCUUUCAAUAAUUCCUGUCAUAAAUAAGAUUGACUUGAAAAAUGCAGACCCUGAAAGAGUUGAAAAACAAAUUGAGAAGCUGUUUGAUAUCCCUACAGAUGAAUGCAUAAGGAUUUCUGCUAAACAAGGAACAAAUGUUGAAAAAGUUCUUCAAAAGGUCAUUGAGAAGAUCCCACCACCCCAAGGUAAUACUGCUGAUCCACUGAAAGCCUUAGUAUUUGACUCUACCUUUGACCACUACCGAGGUGUCAUAGCUAACAUUGCGCUCUUUGGUGGGGAGAUUGCAAAGGGACAGAAAAUUGUGUCUGCACACACUAAGAAAAGAUAUGAAGUUCAUGAAGUUGGAAUUCUGACUCCAAAUGAACAGCCAACACAUAAGCUCUAUGCAGGACAGGUGGGGUACCUGAUUGCUGGAAUGAAAGAAGUAACGGAAGCCCAAAUAGGAGACACACUGUUUUUGUAUAAACAGCCAGUGGAGCCUUUGCCUGGCUUUAAGUCAGCGAAGCCAAUGGUUUUUGCAGGAAUGUAUCCAAUAGAUCAAACAGAAUAUAAUAAUCUCAAAAGUGCUUUGGAAAGGCUGACAUUGAAUGACUCCAGUGUAACUGUUCAUCGUGACAGUAGCCUUGCCUUAGGAGCAGGAUGGAGAUUGGGUUUCCUUGGUCUUCUACAUAUGGAAGUCUUUAAUCAGCGUUUGGAGCAAGAGUAUAACAUGUCUGUUAUUUUGACUGCACCUACAGUUCCAUAUAAAGCUGUUCUUUCCUCAGCAAAGUUGAUAAAGGAGUAUGGAAAAGACCAGAUUACUAUUAUCAACCCUGCUCAGUUUCCUGAUAAAUUUUCAGUAUCAGAAUAUUUGGAGCCAACUGUUCUUGGUACUAUUGUAACACCUCAUGAAUAUAUUGGGAAAAUAAUUACCUUGUGCCAGGAUCGUAGGGCAGUCCAGAGAGAUCUGUUGUACAUUGAUGAAAACAGGGUUAUGCUAAAAUACCUCUUUCCACUGAAUGAAAUUGUGGUGGAUUUUUAUGAUGCUCUUAAGUCUCUGUCUUCUGGCUAUGCAAGUUUUGAUUAUGAAGAUGCAGGUUACCAAUCAGCAGACCUAAUCAAAAUGGAUAUUCUUCUAAAUGGAAAUCCAGUUGAAGAACUCGCAACUAUCAUACACAAUGAUAAAGCCUAUGCUGCUGGUAAACUCCUGUGUGAACGUUUAAAAGAGACUAUUCCUAGACAGUUGUUUGAAAUAGCCAUCCAGGCUGCCAUUGGCAAGAAAAUCAUUGCAAGAGAAACGCUGAAGCCUUACAGAAAAAAUGUUGUGGCAAAAUGUUAUGGUGGUGACAUUACAAGAAGAAUGAAGCUUUUAAGGAGGCAAGCAGAAGGCAAGAGGUUGAUGAGAAAAAUUGGCAAUGUUGAGGUUCCAAGAGAUGCUUUUAUACGUGUUCUAAAGAGAGAAACUGACAAAUAGAGAUCAGUGAAAUCUGAUCUUCCAGAUCAUGUCAGCUUUUUGCAGACAGUAGCAAAGUGAGCUAAUACAGGAUUUAUCACUGUGAAAGGGAACAUACAUGACUUCAAAUGGAAUGAAUUUGCUGUUUCAGGUGCACUGAAAAACCAAAGAUCUGGAUGUGAACAAGGUAUCUGCACCUUUAAUAAAGGUACCUAAGCUGCUGCUACUGACCCUGAAGAAAGGAAGGAUGCUGUGGAUAAAGGCUCUCUAACACAUUUAUUAUUCCUCCCCUAUAAAAGCUAGCAUUUAAGGAACUACAGCUGCAGGGAUACAUGCUAGGAGCAAAGGAGCUAAAAUGAACUCCUUGAACCAGACCUACAGGCAGUGAUUCUGUACUGAGGAAUAAGGCAGAAACUGAAGGUGAGCUAGAGAUUGUCCAAACAGUAAAUUAUAUCCUUGCUGAGUGACAGAGACAUCAAGUGUAUGUUACCUAAUUAAAUGAGUUACAUAGAUGGAUAGAGCUGCCUUGAGAAUCUGUUUUAGCUUUACUAUAGUCACAUGAGGCAGAAAAAAAAUACAAAUUAUAGUCUUAAUUCUGAGAUGACUUGUACAUAUAUCAGUUUUCAAAACAAGAACUUUAAAUUAACUGGUCAGUACCUGUAAAGUACAUGAGGUAUUAGUUUUUGACACAAAUGUACCUGAUUCUAUCUAGUUACUUUUUGAUUCCCCCUUUCCUUUGGAAAGACCUUAAAAUGAGAAAAAGAAUAAAAUGGUAACCUUGAUGUGCUAGGCUAACUUAGAAUUUACUUUUAAGGACUCCUGAACUUGAAAAUGCUUGCUUUGCCAUUACUGCAGAGUAAUGGGUUAACUCUUAUGCAACUUAAAGGGUUGACUGGACCACUAAAGUAGUGGACAAGUUUGGAAGGUACUCUCCUGAAGAAAUGAUAUUUCAUAAAAUGAUUGGAAGUAUCUUAAGGAAUGAAAUAACAGAAACAGUGUGGUAGUACUUAAAAAAAUUUCAUAAUAUAGCACUCAAAAUUUUUAAAAAAUAGUGUAACAAGAGAAACAAGCUGGAGAACAACAAGAGCUGUGCAUUAAAAGAGGCAAUAGUCCCAGACCCAAGGACAGACAGGUUCUGCUGUACCGGUAUUUAAACUGGCCUGUGUUUUACAGAAGGUCGAGUAGUUAAAAAGGGAGGAAAUAUAUUAAUUCUGUGAUCUGGCACAUCUUGAGAACACAGAGGGCUUUAGUGAGUAAGGGUGCCAAGUGAGGCACAUGAUUGAAAGGUGUGCUGGAAUAAAGAACAAGAAUAUUGUUUCAAUAGCAUUCUCCAUUUUGGCACAUGAAGGAUAAUGAUCAAGAUGAAACCUGUUUCAAUUCCAUUAAUACUAACCUAAAUUAAUUACUACUUUUAGUUUCAUGCUUUUGUAAUAGAAUUGUUUGUAAAUUUGCUUAGCUGUAAAGGCUAAUGGCAAACCUAACACUGCAUUUUGAGUCAUACAUUACCUGUAACAGCAUUCUUCUGAAAGGCAGUCUUUUCAACUUUUUUCCCCACAAUGUUGCAUUAUGCUUCAAAAAUACAUGUGCAUAAACUGAGCCUUAAAGCUGAAAACCUGUUUUAAAUAUGUGGAUGUUCAAUGUACUGUUGAGAAUUGAAACACUAGGCCUGGCUUCCUACACUGCUGUAGACAGAUUCUUCCAUGCUUUUGUAAUUCCUCAGAAUCAGAGAACAGUCCAGUUUUGAAAGGACUCUGUAAGACCAUUUAUGAGAAAGGUGAGCCUAGAUGAGUCUAGAAAAGUCACCUAGAUGAAAGGUGAGCCUCUCACAUCCCUGGGGAGAUAAUGUGAUUUUGUAAUAAAGACUACAUGCCUGUCA